GGGGUUGUGGCUCAGUGGUAGAGCGCUCGCCUAGCAUAUGUGAGGCCAUGGGUUCGAUCCUCAGCACCA
rnacentral:tRNA from 1 species